rnacentral:tRNA from 1 species
UUCAAUAUAGCAAAAUUCUGCAUUAAACUUAGAAUUUAAAGAUAGGUAACUUAUUGAUC